UACGGAGGGUGCGAGCGUUGUUCGGAAUUACUGGGCGUAAAGCGCGUGUAGGCGGCCUUCUAAGUCUGGUGUGAAAGCCCGGGGCUCAACCCCGGAAGUGCAUUGGAUACUGGGAGGCUGGAGUACCGGAGAGGAGGGUGGAAUUCCUGGUGUAGCGGUGAAAUGCGUAGAGAUGUGGAGGAACACCAGUGGCGAAGGCGGCUUUCUGGUCUGUAACUGACGCUGAGGCGCGAAAGCGUGGGGAGCAAACAGG
rnacentral:rRNA from 1 species